GGUAUGGUAGAGAUUGAGUGUAAAGAUAGCUAGAGGUUCUUUUUAGAACAUCUAUAUAUUUGCAUUACUGUAAUAAACAACAUAUUAAUUAUAAUGUCUAACAAGCAAAAUAUAUGUAGUCUUUCAUAUUCUAUGCUUUAAUUAGCUUAUAAGUUGUUUCAUAAGAUAAUUGUCUUCAUGUUAUAAAGCUUUGACUAAUGUAUA
rnacentral:lncRNA from 1 species